rnacentral:rRNA from 1 species
GGAAAGGCGCGCGAUACAGGGUGACAGCCCCGUACACAAAAAUGCACAUGCUGUGAGCUCGAUGAGUAGGGCGGGACACGUGGUAUCCUGUCUGAAUAUGGGGGGACCAUCCUCCAAGGCUAAAUACUCCUGACUGACCGAUAGUGAACCAGUACCGUGAGGGAAAGGCGAAAAGAACCCCGGCGAGGGGAGUGAAAAAGAACCUGAAACCGUGUACGUACAAGCAGUGGGAGCACGCUUAGGCGUGUGACUGCGUACCUUUUGUAUAAUGGGUCAGCGACUUAUAUUCUGUAGCAAGGUUAACCGAAUAGGGGAGCCGAAGGGAAACCGAGUCUUAACUGGGCGUUAAGUUGCAGGGUAUAGACCCGAAACCCGGUGAUCUAGCCAUGGGCAGGUUGAAGGUUGGGUAACACUAACUGGAGGACCGAACCGACUAAUGUUGAAAAAUUAGCGGAUGACUUGUGGCUGGGGGUGAAAGGCCAAUCAAACCGGGAGAUAGCUGGUUCUCCCCGAAAGCUAUUUAGGUAGCGCCUCGUGAAUUCAUCUCCGGGGGUAGAGCACUGUUUCGGCAAGGGGGUCAUCCCGACUUACCAACCCGAUGCAAACUGCGAAUACCGGAGAAUGUUAUCACGGGAGACACACGGCGGGUGCUAACGUCCGUCGUGAAGAGGGAAACAACCCAGACCGCCAGCUAAGGUCCCAAAGUCAUGGUUAAGUGGGAAACGAUGUGGGAAGGCCCAGACAGCCAGGAUGUUGGCUUAGAAGCAGCCAUCAUUUAAAGAAAGCGUAAUAGCUCACUGGUCGAGUCGGCCUGCGCGGAA